rnacentral:rRNA from 1 species
GCGCAGCAGUCGCGAAAACUCCGCAAUGCACGAAAGUGUGACGGGGCUACCCCGAGUGCCGUCCGCUGAGGAUGGCUCUUCCUCGGUGUAACUAGCCGGGGGAAUAAGGGGAGGGCAAGACUGGUGUCAGCCGCCGCGGUAAUACCAGCUCUCCGAGUGGUAGGGAUGAUUAUUGGGCUUAAAGCGUCCGUAGCCGGCUUAGCAAGUCUCCUGUUAAAUUCAGCGACCUAAUCGUUGAGCCGCGGGAGAUACUACUAGGCUAGGAGGCGGGAGAGGCCGACGGUACUUCCGGGGUAGGGGUGAAAUCCUAUAAUCCCGGGCGGACCACCAGUGGCGAAGGCUGUCGGCUAGAACGCGCUCGACGGUGAGGGACGAAAGCUGGGGGAGUGAACCGGAUUAGAUACCCGUGUAGUCC